AGGCAACCUCUUUCUGAAUAUAUUUAUGAGAAGGAAGGUGUUAAUCUGGUCGGAAAUCAAUAUCUUUUGCUCUUCAUACUUGCUGAGACUUAAUAGUUUUUGAAGCUGGUAUAGUAAGCAAUAAGGACAUC